rnacentral:rRNA from 1 species
ACAAGCGGCGGAGCAUGUGGAUUAAUUCGAUGCAACGCGAAGAACCUUACCUGGGUUUGACAUAUACCGGAAAGCCGUAGAGAUACGGCCCCCCUUGUGGUCGGUAUACAGGUGGUGCAUGGCUGUCGNCAGCUCGUGUCGUGAGAUGUUGGGUUAAGUCCCGCAACGAGCGCAACCCUUGUCUUAUGUUGCCAGCACGUAAUGGUGGGGACUCGUAAGAGACUGCCGGGGUCAACUCGGAGGAAGGUGGGGACGACGUCAAGUCAUCAUGCCCCUUAUGUCCAGGGCUUCACACAUGCUACAAUGGCCGGUACAGAGGGCUGCGAUACCGUGAGGUGGAGCGAAUCCCUUAAAGCCGGUCUCAGUUCGGAUCGGGGUCUGCAACUCGACCCCGUGAAGUCGGAGUCGCUAGUAAUCGCAGAUCAGCAACGCUGCGGUGAAUACGUUCCCGGGCCUUGUACACACCGCCCGUCACGUCAUGAAAGUCGGUAACACCCGAAGCCGGUGGCCUAACCCCUUGUGGGAGGGAGCCGUCGAAGGUGGGAUCGGCGAUUGGGACGAAGUCGUAACAAGGUAGCCGUACCGGAAGGUGC